rnacentral:rRNA from 1 species
UACGUAGGGGGCGAGCGUUGUCCGGAAUCAUUGGGCGUAAAGCGCGUGUAGGCGGUUCGGUAAGUCCGCUGUGAAAGUCGGGGGCUCAACCCUCGAAUGCCGGUGGAUACUGUCGGGCUAGAGUGCGGAAGAGGCGAGUGGAGUUCCUGGUGUAGCGGUGAAAUGCGCAGAUAUCAGGAGGAACACCAAUUGCGAAGGCAGCUCGCUGGAACGUUACUGACGCUGAGACGCGAAAGCGUAGGGAGCAAACAGG